CCACAGAAACCAGGCCGAAUUGCUAGCCGAACCGACCCAACCCGUGACUGCGUGAAGCGGUCCGCGCGUGGCCGUCGCGCGUGCAGCCUGCAUUUGGUGUCCUUUCUUGUGCAUGGCUAGCGCGUGGUCAGCGUGUGAGGGCAUGUGAGAGGCUCAUUUUUCGUUCGUUUACCUUCUGUUUGUCCCGAUUCUUAUUUUAAUAAUAUUUUUAUGUGAAUAAGAACCUAAUUGAGGAUAAUCAGUGUUUUUGGACACCCUACGAGCAUAGAGACGCUAGCGAAAGGACACGCGUCAACCAGGUAAACUCUACGUUUCGGAUACUUGAGGGAUGACAUCACCCCAUUGAGCGCAAACUCUGCUUUCCGGGUUCCUGAUGGGAGCCAUCGCCCCGUUGAGUUUGCAUGUCUAAUUUGCAUGAAUUAUGUGUGAUGAUGUUAGAUGGCGGUUACAUGCACACUAUGUUAUUUUCCACAUUUGCCUUAGAUUAGCUCUCCAUGAAUGAGACUAAGUAGAUCGAUUGUUAUGAGCGUAUUUAAUAACUCUAAAAGUAGAGUCAUAUAAUGUCUUUUUGUAGUUAA